CACGUAGGCACCAAGCGUUGUCCGGAUUUACUGGGCGUAAAGGAUGCGUAGGCGGACAUUUAAGUCAGAUGUGAAAUACCCGAGCUUAACUUGGGUGCUGCAUUUGAAACUGGGUGUCUAGAGUGCAGGAGAGGUAAGUGGAAUUCCUAGUGUAGCGGUGAAAUGCGUAGAGAUUAGGAAGAACACCAGUGGCGAAGGCGACUUACUGGACUGUAACUGACGCUGAGGCAUGAAAGCGUGGGGAGCAAACAGG
rnacentral:rRNA from 1 species